GAUGAACGCUGGCGGCGUGCCUAAUACAUGCAAGUCGAGCGAACGGACGAGAAGCUUGCUUCUCUGAUGUUAGCGGCGGACGGGUGAGUAACACGUGGAUAACCUACCUAUAAGACUGGGAUAACUUCGGGAAACCGGAGCUAAUACCGGAUAAUAUUUUGAACCGCAUGGUUCAAAAGUGAAAGACGGUCUUGCUGUCACUUAUAGAUGGAUCCGCGCUGCAUUAGCUAGUUGGUAAGGUAACGGCUUACCAAGGCAACGAUGCAUAGCCGACCUGAGAGGGUGAUCGGCCACACUGGAACUGAGACACGGUCCAGACUCCUACGGGAGGCAGCGGUAGGGAAUCUUCCGCAAAGGGCGAAAGCCUGACGGAGCAACGCCGCGUGAGUGAUGAAGGUCUUCGGAUCGUAAAACUCUGUUAUUAGGGAAGAACAUAUGUGUAAGUAACUGUGCACAUCUUGACGGUACCUAAUCAGAAAGCCACGGCUAACUACGUG
rnacentral:rRNA from 1 species